rnacentral:rRNA from 1 species
CGUGAGAUGUUCGGUUAAGUCCGGCAACGAGCGCAACCCACACCCCUGGUUGCCAUCAUUUGGUUGGGCACUCUAGGGGAACUGCCCGUGAUAAGCGGGAGGAAGGUGUGGAUGACGUCAAGUCCUCAUGGCCCUUACGGGUUGGGCUACACACGUGCUACAAUGGUGGUGACAAUGGGUUAAUCCCUAAAAGCCAUCUCAGUUCGGAUUGGGGUCUGCAACUCGACCCCA